UCGCGAAUCAUUCACAAUGGACGCAAGUCUGAUGAUGCCACGCCGCGUGCGGGAUGAAGGCCCUUUGGGUUGUAAACCGCUGUCAAGGGAGGGGAAACACCUAGCGUUAACAGCGCUAGGCUUGACUGCUCCCUAAAGGAAGCCACGGCUAACUACGUGCCAGCAGCCGCGGUAAUACGUAGGUGACAAGCGUUGUCCGGAUUUAUUGGGUUUAAAGGGUGCGUAGGUGGCCCUGUAAGUCAGUGGUGAAAUAUCUCAGCUUAACUGAGAGGGUGCCAUUGAUACUGCAGGGCUUGAGUACAGAUGAGGUAGGCGGAAUUGACGGUGUAGCGGUGAAAUGCAUAGAUAUCGUCAAGAACACCGAUAGCGAAGGCAGCUUACCAAGCUGUAACUGACACUGAGGCACGAAAGUGUGGGGAUCAAACAGGAUUAGAUACCCAUGUAGUCCCUGAGCGGGCUGGCAAGGCGCAU
rnacentral:rRNA from 1 species